CUGAGUUUGUUUGUGUCAAAGUCAGAGAGCCGUGUCUCUCUACAGUGAGAGGUUUUUGUACGGCGGCUCAAUGAGUUUGUAUCACUGUGGUGGACUUUUGGUGGAGGAACCAGACUGGAUGUUGGAAGUGAUGUCCGUCCCACCCUGACGGUGCUGCCCCCUCCAGUGAGGAGCUGCAGCAGGGGAAGGCCACGCUCAUGUGUCUGGCCAACAAGGGCUUCCCCUCAGACUGGAGUCUGUCCUGGAAGGUGGACGGCAGCAGCAGCAGCAGCAGCUGGGAGGAGAGCAGGAGCCCCGGGGUGCUGAAGGACGGCCACUACAGCUGGAGCAGCACCCUGAGGCUCUCUGCAGACCACUGGAGGAAGGUGGGCUCUGUGACCUGUGAGGCCACCCAGGGCUCCCAGACUCCGCUCUCAGAGACACUGAGGAGAGACCAGUGUUCCCAGUCCUAACCUGACUCACUGGG